UGAAGCAUACUUUCAGGUUUUGUUUAUGUCAAAUUCCAGUAUAUGUUAUUCAUAAUAGUUAUUCAUGGUUAUUCAUAAUAGUUGGCUAUAACACAAGGAACCUACAGGCCUGUAUCCUGCAUGAUUAGCUAGAGCAAGUCAGUAUGACUGUUUG